CUGUUCGAGCGUCAUUACAACCCUCAAGCUCUGCUUGGUAUUGGGUAUCACCGCUUUUGGUGUGCCUUAAAAUCAGUGGCGGUGCCACCUGGCUUCUAGCGUAGUAAUACUUCUCGCUAUGGAGAUUAGAUGUGUGCUUGCCAUAACCCCUAAUUUUAAAGGUUGACCUCGGAUCAGGUAGGGAUACCCGCUGAACUUAA
rnacentral:misc_RNA from 1 species